GCCGUAAUCACCUGUGUCAUAACUGGUGAUAAUAAAAAAGAAGUGGAAGCAGCAAACGUGUCGUGGACAUUUGGAGGACAAACACGCACAAGUACCUCAACAGAUAAUGUUAAAGAGACGACACCACCAUUUACUAAAACCAGUACAUUAUCCCUCAGUGAAUCUGAAUGGUUUUCAGAGAGAGAAGUAAAGUGCUCUACUGAAAGAGAUAAAACACCAUUCUCAGAGAAAAUUAAAGUGAAGAAAGGAGGCAAACCUUCUAUUCUCUUCUACAAACCUGAGAAGCAUGUCUCUGACGGUGAGAAAGUCUCUCUGUUGUGUGAGGUCAGCAGCUCUGAUCUGGGGGAUGUGUACAUCAUGUGGAAAAUGAACAACGGCCAGCACAGAGAAAGCAGCAGCACAGUUCACACUAAUGCUAAUACAGUCCUCAGCUACUUAACUGUGUCUGGAAACGAAUACAACAGAGCACAAUUCACUUGUGUAGUCAAAGACCCCAACAUGACGGCUGGAGCUCUACCAGAACAGAAGACAACAUCUAUGAAUAAGUUCUCUCUAAAGAUCAACCCACCAACUGUGAAGGAUCUUUUUGUAUUUAAUAGAGCCUUAAUCACCUGUGUCAUAACUGGUGAU